GAUGAACGCUGGCGGCGUGCCUAAUACAUGCAAGUCGAGCGAACAGACGAGGAGCUUGCUCCUCUGACGUUAGCGGCGGACGGGUGAGUAACACGUGGAUAACCUACCUAUAAGACUGGGAUAACUUCGGGAAACCGGAGCUAAUACCGGAUAAUAUAUUGAACCGCAUGGUUCAAUAGUGAAAGACGGUUUUGCUGUCACUUAUAGAUGGAUCCGCGCCGCAUUAGCUAGUUGGUAAGGUAACGGCUUACCAAGGCAACGAUGCGUAGCCGACCUGAGAGGGUGUUGGGCCACACUGAAACUGAGACACGGUCCAGACUCCUACGGGAGGCAGCAGUAGGGAAUCUUCGGCAAUGGGCGAAAGCCUGACGAAGCAACGCCGCGUGAGUGAUGAAGGUCUUCGGAUCGUAAAACUCUGUUAUUAGGGAAGAACAAGUGUGUAAGUAACUAUGCACGUCUUGACGGUACCUAAUCAGAAAGCCACGGCUAACUACGU
rnacentral:rRNA from 1 species